UUUUACAGGAUGAACACUCGUUUCAAGCCCGAGAAUAUACGAACCGAAACAGCUGUGUGCAAUGGGCAAGGCACCUGCUACAUGACAUGCCUUGCAAAAAAGCUAGCCCAAGUGAUACAACACGCAUUGUAAGGACUGCCAUGCAACGACAGGAUGACUACCCCCGAAUGUACACUCUGCCAGUGUGGUGAAACAUGUGAACACCUGCUACAACAGGUCAUCUUGAACCUCACGCUUGCAAUGCUGCAUUUGUGAAUGGUUUACCAUGAAUCUCAUGGAGGGGUGCUUACGAUCGUCCACAAGCGUUAGCUGUCUACUGUGUCAUGCAAUAUACACUGCAAUAGCGUUGAAACUGAACACUAGCUCCAUGCAUUAGUUACAUUACGUGGCACUGCUAAGCUCAACGACGCAGGUUUUAUACCCAGCCACGGUGGUGACAUUUCAAUGGGGUCGAAAUGCAAGGACACUUGUGUGUUUAGGUUUGCAUCUGAAGUUCAGGAACAGACGGAAGCUUGAAGAGACCAACAAUUUGAGAACAUGAGGUGUCGCUUGAGCAAAUGUUUCAUCAAGCAGUCUCAUGUUCUUCAAGGCUACAACUGCGGUUGUUUUAACCCCAGGCAGUCAGAAUAAAUCUAAAGUUGCCCACUACUGUAUGACUCAUAUCAUGGUUUGUAUGUGAUUCAUUAGAAAUGAUCAAUUCAAAGGUAAACAUAUUCGACAGAAAUGUGUCUGGCUGGGUAAGGUUAUCAGAAUAAAAGGACUCUCCAGCCAUGUUUAGUCUUUUGUUUUUUCAUUAAAAAAACUUAAAGACCGAACGGAUCUCGAAACGUAGGGUCAGUCUUUUUUAAAUUAUAAACUACAUUGCAAAACGAACAUCACGGCAGUGAGAGGAAUUAAGUCUUUCCGACAUUUAGUUGUGCCUUGUGAGACUUUACAAACUAUGCUCAAAACUGUUUUGCCUUAAUUAACUGUGUUUAGAUCAUAGAAGUUUACAAAAAGAUAUGCCAAAGUUUUACAAGGCUGUGCUCAAUUACAUUAGCCUUUGCAUUUAUGCUCAAUGAGCACCUUCAGAUUAUUGAGCUAAUGAACAAAUUGUAAAUGUGACAACCACUUCUUGCAGCACAGCUACACCAAGCACGUUCACUUUGUCAC
rnacentral:lncRNA from 1 species